GAUGAAGAACGCAGCGAAAUGCGAUAAGUAAUGUGAAUUGCAGAAUUCAGUGAAUCAUCGAAUCUUUGAACGCACAUUGCGCCCAUUAGUAUUCUAGUGGGCAUGCCUGUUCGAGCGUCAUUUCAACCCUUAAGCCUAGCUUAGUAUUGGGAAUCUACUUUACUGUCGUUCCUCAAAUUCAACGGCGGAUUUAUAGCAAUCUCUGAACGUAGUAAUUUUUUUCCUCGUUUUUGAAAUACUAUAAACCUCAGCCGCUAAACCCCCAAUUUUUCUAUGGUUGACCUCGGAUCAGGUAGGAAUACCCGCUGAACUUAAGCAUAUCAAUAAGCGGAGGA
rnacentral:misc_RNA from 1 species